rnacentral:misc_RNA from 1 species
GAUGAAGAACGCAGCGAAAUGCGAUAAGUAAUGUGAAUUGCAGAAUUCAGUGAAUCAUCGAAUCUUUGAACGCACAUUGCGCCCUCUGGUAUUCCGGGGGGCAUGCCUGUUCGAGCGUCAUUACAACCCUCAAGCUCUGCUUGGUAUUGGGCUCUGCCGGUCCUGGCAGGCCUCAAAGUCAGUGGCGGUGCCAUCCGGCUCCAAGCGUAGUAAUUCUCCUCGCUUCGGAGGCCGCGGUGCGUGCUAGCCAGCAACCCCCAAUUUUUUUCAGGUUGACCUCGGAUCAGGUAGGGAUACCCGCUGAACUUAAGCAUAUCAAUAAGCGGAGGA